rnacentral:rRNA from 14 species
GUGCCAGCAGCCGCGGUAAUUCCAGCUCCAAUAGCGUAUAUUUAAGUUGUUGCAGUUAAAAAGCUCGUAGUUGGACUUGUGCCGUGCUUCCGAUGUCCAUUUUCUUGGUACGUUUGGGGGCGUGGCAUCCUUGGGUGGAACCUGUGUGGCAUUAGGUUGUCGUGCAGGGGAUGCUCAUCGUUUACUGUGAAAAAAUUAGAGUGUUCAAAGCAGGCUUAUGCCGUUGAAUAUAUUAGCAUGGAAUAAUAAGAUAGGACCUUGGUACUAUUUUGUUGGUUUGCGCACCGAGGUAAUGAUUAACAGGGACAGUUGGGGGUAUUCGUAUUCCAUUGUCAGAGGUGAAAUUCUUGGAUUUAUUGAAGACUAACUACUGCGAAAGCAUUUGCCAAGGAUGUUUUCAUUAAUCAGUGAACGAAAGUUAGGGGAUCGAAGACGAUCAGAUACCGUCCUAGUCUUAACCAUAAACGUUGCCGACUAGGGAUCGGAGGGCGUGCACAUUCCGCCUUCGGCACCUUACGAGAAAUCAAAGUUUUUGGGUUCUGGGGGGAGUAUGGUCGCAAGGCUGAAACUUAAAGAAAUUGACGGAAGGGCACCACCA